GACGAACGCUGGCGGCGUGCUUAACACAUGCAAGUCGAACGGAAAGGCCCUGCUUUUGUGGGGUGCUCGAGUGGCGAACGGGUGAGUAACACGUGAGUAACCUGCCCUUGACUUUGGGAUAACUUCAGGAAACUGGGGCUAAUACCGGAUAGGAGCUCCUGCUGCAUGGGGGGGGUUGGAAAGUUUCGGCAGUUGGGGAUGGACUCGCGGCUUAUCAGCUUGUUGGUGGGGUAGUGGCUUACCAAGGCUUUGACGGGUAGCCGGCCUGAGAGGGUGACCGGCCACAUUGGGACUGAGAUACGGCCCAGACUCCUACGGGAGGCAGCAGUGGGGAAUAUUGCACAAUGGGCGGAAGCCUGAUGCAGCAACGCCGCGUGCGGGAUGACGGCCUUCGGGUUGUAAACCGCUUUCGCCUGUGACGAAGCGUGAGUGACGGUAAUGGGUAAAGAAGCACCGGCUAACUACGUG
rnacentral:rRNA from 1 species